rnacentral:rRNA from 1 species
UACGUAGGGUGCAAGCGUCGUCCGGAAUUAUUGGGCGUAAAGAGCUCGUAGGCGGUCUGUCGCGUCUGCUGUGAAAACUCAGGGCUUAACCCUGAGCUUGCAGUGGGUACGGGCAGGCUCGAGUUCGGUAGGGGAGACUGGAAUUCCUGGUGUAGCGGUGAAAUGCGCAGAUAUCAGGAGGAACACCAGUGGCGAAGGCGAGUCCCUGGACACUUCCUGACACUGAGGCACGAAAGCUAGGGGGAGCAAAACAGG